rnacentral:lncRNA from 1 species
ACACAGCCCUCAGUCCUAAAGGCUGGUCUCACUCCCAUCCUGCCACGCAACAGCACAGGGUCUAUUUCGAGACAGCCAGUGACCAGGGCUGAGAACUUGCCCCAGACCACCAGCCUCCUCACUGAGAAAGCAAGCAGAAUCACAGUUUUUUGGAAUCUCAGGGAGCCUUCAGCGGCAAUCCAGUUCCUUCAAAGGGUCUGUGGAUUCUCUCAGUUUUCAUGAAACCAGCCAAGGCAAUGUGAAGGAUUCCAAGAGAGGCAAUAUGGAUGAAACCAUUUAUUAGAUUUAUAAGAGCUGAAGGAAAGUGGGGUGUCAGCUGUGACCCUCGAAGGAAAGGGAUCACCCUCUUUCUGACCCUAUACCACCUUCAGCAGGGAUGAAGGCAGUCAGAGAAAACUUAGUUAAAAAAUUUCUAAACUGCUUUGCUGAUUUGAUCUGGGGCCCUGGAGUGCCAACAUCCUGUGAUAGCGGCUGAUUGUUGAUGCCUGGGAGGAUACAGCAGUGACGAUCCAAAUUUACAAGACUCAACAUGGUUUUCAAAACUUCCUUUUAAAAAAGAUGUUCCUGAGUUCUGGAAUCUGAACAAAAUAUGUCUGGUUAUUAUAUAAUUCUAAUGGUCCUUGUGGAUGCUACCAUUAGAGUUCAGUUAGUGUCUCAUCUAUCACUGUAAUAUUUGUAUUGUAACACUAAUCGUGGCAAAGUAUGAUUUGAUAAAUGCUCAUUCUCAAAUCU